UUUCAGAAAUUGGAAAAGCACAGGUUGUUUUACACAUGUUUUCUUUUACCAUUAAUGCAUGCUAAUUAUUGUUUGAUUAUUCUGUUCUGUGGUGCGGUGAAUACUUUUUACGAUCAAAACAAAUUACUUGGAUCCUUUAUUAUUAUUAUUAUUUAAGUUAUAAUUUUUUUUUGUCUUUCUUUUUUUCAAGGAAUAUUACUAUGCCUAAAAAUGAGCAAAGUCAGAACUGAAAGAGCUUCUUCAGAGCUUUGGAAGGUUGCAGGUUUAGCUGUUGUUUGUGUUAUAUGUUUCACCUCUAAUGCUUUUGUGGCUUUGUUAACUGACAUUCCUGCGGUGUGUUUUGCUUUAAUGGGCAUUGGCAGCUCAUUUCAUGCUCAAGAAACUGCUGUGAGUGGGUAAUUAGAGAGUCGAGUGUGGUAAAUACUGUUCUUUUCCUGUGUACUGUGUUAUGUUUGGGGUCAUUUGGGACAUGUUACGUUCUGAUUCUUUUGAGAUCUGCAUGUAAAAGCCUCAACUUAUCUAUUUGCAUACAUUUGUUGAAAACAUCAGGUUCUGGCCUUCGGGUACUGUGUGACUUCAGGCCAUCAACUACAGAGGUUAACAUAACAAUAAAGCUUUUACUUGUGUUGCUUUUCUCGACAGUGGAGUUUUGUUGUCUCAGUUCACGUUUUGGUGGCAUGAUAGACAUAGAAUAUGUCGAGGACGUGGCUAAUAUUUCUAAUGUGUCUGGGAUUACUACCCAUUCUUUGCAACUGUACAGUCAUUGCUGACCACUAGACCGUCUCCCUGCAACUGUACAGUCAUUGCAACUGUUGUUUAUUUCUUUGUGUUGAAGUAGUAACUUUUAACUAUGUUGAAUAUUUAAGACUCCUUGAAUACUUAAAGAACAUUUUGUUGUUGAUGACAGUGUUGAAUGUUUUAAACUAAUUUGUGGAUUGUUAAUACAAUGUUGAAUGUU